rnacentral:rRNA from 1 species
GACGAACGCUGGCGGCGUGCUUAACACAUGCAAGUCGAACGGAAAGGCCUAGCUUGCUGGGUACUCGAGUGGCGAACGGGUGAGUAGCACGUGGGUGAUCUGCCCCUGACUUUGGGAUAAGCCUGGGAAACUGGGUCUAAUACCAGAUAUUCAUUUUCCCUCGCAUGGGGAUUUGUGGAAAGCUUUUGCGGUUGGGGAUGGGCCCGCGGCCUAUCAGCUUGUUGGUGGGGUAAUGGCCUACCAAGGCGACGACGGGUAGCCGACCUGAGAGGGUGAUCGGCCACACUGGGACUGAGACACGGCCCAGACUCCUACGGGAGGCAGCAGUGGGGAAUAUUGCACAAUGGGCGCAAGCCUGAUGCAGCGACGCCGCGUGAGGGAUGACGGCCUUCGGGUUGUAAACCUCUUUCAGCUCCGACGAAGCGCAAGUGACGGUAGGAGCAGAAGAAGCACCGGCCAACUACGUG